rfam:Oryza sativa (indica cultivar-group) chromosome 6, whole genome shotgun sequence.
UAUUCAUGAAGUCAUACAAGUAUCAUAUGGGUAUCUCCCGGAGAUAGUGUAUUUUUGUUGUUAUGAGAUGAUAAAACAUAAAUAAUACUUUAUACGUGACUUAUGUUUUUACAUGUUUUCAAAAAAAUUUCAAAUAAGACGGGCGAUCAAAGUUAGGCACAGAAACUCAUGGCUGCACUUAAA